CGGAAUGUAGCGUAAUCAAUAGCCAAUUAAUUGUUGGCCGGUAUGAAUGGCGUCACGAAGGCCCCACUGUCUUAAGAGGACUCUCCAUGAAAUUGAAUUCGUAGUGAAGAUGCUACGUCCAUAUUGUAAGACGAAAAGACCCCAUUGAGCUUUACUAAAGACUUGCAUGGCUCAAAAUAAUUUGACUUAAAUAAAGAGUUUAGAUAAUGUGGGACCCGUUUUCGGUUAAUGAAACACCACUCUUUUAUUUUAAGAGAGCUAACAUUACAGGGAUAGUGUAAGUUGGAUAGUUUGGUUGGGGCGACCACCUUUUAAAAGGUAACGAAGGUGAGCUUAAGGUCCGUAGUUAAUAGCCGGUGGCCUGACUGCAAGGGGGACGUCUCGAGCAGACACGUCCUUAGGGAUGUGGACUAUAGUGACCCGUCAUCUUAGUGUGGAAUAGUUGACGAUCAACGAAUAAA
rnacentral:rRNA from 1 species